CCUACGGGGGGCUGCAGUGGGGAAUAUUGGACAAUGGGCGAAAGCCUGAUCCAGCCAUGCCGCGUGUGUGAAGAAGGCCUUCGGGUUGUAAAGCACUUUCAGUGGGGAAGAAAGCCUUGGGGCUAAUACCCUCGAGGAAGGACAUCACCCACAGAAGAAGCACCGGCUAACUCCGUGCCAGCAGCCGCGGUAAUACGGAGGGUGCGAGCGUUAAUCGGAAUUACUGGGCGUAAAGCGCGCGUAGGCGGUCUGAUAAGCCGGUUGUGAAAGCCCCGGGCUCAACCUGGGAACGGCAUCCGGAACUGUCAGGCUAGAGUGCAGGAGAGGAAGGUAGAAUUCCCGGUGUAGCGGUGAAAUGCGUAGAGAUCGGGAGGAAUACCAGUGGCGAAGGCGGCCUUCUGGACUGACACUGACGCUGAGGUGCGAAAGCGUGGGUAGCAAACAGGAUUAGAUACCCUUGUAGC
rnacentral:rRNA from 1 species